rnacentral:lncRNA from 1 species
AUGCAUAAUUGCAAAGUACAAGUGCAAGUUUCUCAAACUUGUUGGGUUCCGGUGGUGCAGCGAAAGUAGGUGUUUAAUAUUUCAUUCAAAACACCUGAUGCACUAGAAAUUCUAAUGCCCAGAAAUCCUUGACUAUAUCAAUCAAAGUAUAAUUAAAAUAUAUUUGGAUCAGAAGAAUAUCAAUAAUGCUAAUCCAAUUUUUAUAAGAUGUCCAAGUGUCCGCCCU